GCUGCCAUCUCCCCCCAACCCCAUGCUACAUCUAACUGUGUCUCAGUUCUCUGCUGCACUUAGAGGAUAAGGAUGAGAGCUGAGGGUGGGGAGAGAAGGAAGAGCAGCAGCAGUAGCAGCUUCAGGAGGCUCCUGAUCACUUAGAAGAGAUGAAGGCUGAGCUACAGUAGGAGAGACUCAGGUUAACCCUGAGAGGGACUUCCCAUACUGAGACCCUGGAGGAAGCCACAUUUCAAAGGCCCCGAUGGGAGGCCCAUAUCUGGGCUCACCAGCCCUGCCAUCUUUGUCACAGCCUCUGUCCAGGCCAAUGUGUCCUCCAGCUCAGCUUACUCCUUCAUUCAUUUUUUCAGGAAACAUUCAAGGACCUUCUUCCAAGGGCACAAUACUGAGCAACAUGGACAAGGUCUGGCCCUAUGGUAAAGUCAGGUCUGGAUCAUGGAAUUGAAUGGGGUGUGUCAGGCACCCGCAUGAGGGGCUGGCUCCUCCCCGUGAAUUCUGGGCACAGACACCCAGACCUGAGCAGGCCCCUCACCCCACAGCGACUGGGGAGCGGGAGCCCGAGUCCCUCCCACCUGCUCCCUCGGUUUCUGAGGGUCUGUCUCAUCCUGCAGCUGGACAGACGUGAUCUUCAGCCCCAAGUUCCAUGGUGGAAGGAAUAGGAGUGGGAAGGGGAGGAGGAGACAUAUGGUCCAGGAGGUUCCAUAUGUACCCACACAUGGACCUCAAAGAGGCCCCCACAGCAAGACAGCAAAUGACAUCCACAGUCACAGAUCACGGAGUGAUUUCAGAUGAAGAUGGUGCUGGCAAGUUUCCCCAUCAGCGCAAUGGAGUUUGAGCAAAGGAUCUCGCUGGAGAAGUCGCAGCGACAGUGGGUCUAAGAGCAGAGGGCAAGGGCUGUCUGAGCCUUGUGAAGCUCAAUUCUGCCCCCUGGUGCCCAGAAUGCCGCGCCAGCAAUGGGAUGCAGGAAGAAGAGGCAGGAGACACCUGAGGUCUCUCACCUUUUCCAAGCUACUCAGACCUCCCUCGUACAGGGCAGGGAACACAGGGCACCAGCCCUACUAACCCAAUCUGAGGGGAAACUCUGAAGCUCCCUCUCCUGCAGAGAUCUCAGACUCUGUGGUAGAAUUGGUGUGGGGGGACACGUGACGUCAGCAAUAGCCCUGUCCAUCCUGCACCUGGACACCCCGAGUGGUUCCUUCUAUGGGAGGCAGAGGCAGGGCUGCCCCCUCUGCUGUGCAAUUCCUGGGGUCUUCAUCUGAGUUAAAUUCUUUUAAAUCAGG
rnacentral:lncRNA from 1 species